UAGCCAAGUGGUUAAGGCUAUGGACCGCAAAUCCGGAGACGACGGGUUGGAUUCCCGU
rnacentral:tRNA from 1 species